AUGGCAAAAGAUCGAAUGUCACAUAUUUAAUAUAUAAUAAGAGUUCUGGACAAAAUAAAUAAAUAAUUACAUUAUAAGGUGACAACGGUCUAGCAACCCAAAGUUGUUUGGGAGACGACGGCCUAGACCUCUCACGAACUCGUCACGGCAUCCUCCAUGCGCCUCAUCCUGUGGUACCUGUUCUUGACCUGUAGGGGGUGUGAGACAGCAAGAGUGAGCUCACAUACGUUCAUAGCUCAACAAGUUGUGGGGAAUAAUGUGCAUGAACUCGCCAAAGGUGGGAGCUCAUGAAGUGUAAGGCUUACCAAAGAGGAUGGUUGAAGUUGGGCAUUGAUUUUAAAGUUGGUCAAAAUUUUAUUAGCAAUUACUAAGUAUAAGUAAAUACCAACCCAAUUAAGUAGUAGAACAAAAGUAACAACAACACCUGCGAUGCAAUGCAUAUGACAAAUUAAAUUUAAGUUCCAUAAAUUAAUCAUGUGAGGGUACGAGCUGCUCAUGACCGUGAGCACGGCUAGUAUACCAGUUUUACACUCUGCAGAGGUUGCACAUCUUUACCCACAAGUCAUGUUACCCAUCUACGAUGGGGUUGUACGGGCCCCAUACACCUCUACCAAGGAAGCGAGGCAGGGUAACACUAUGAGGCCUUUACAAAGUUCCACUAGUUUCAGAAAACCCGCUACAGUUUAUAGGAAGCUCCAAUGCAGGGAUCCCUCGCCUGACCGCCAUCGCAGCAAAAUCAACCCAAGGACCUCCCUACACUGACCACUUCCCUACUGCCCUUGCCCCUUUCGGGUAAGGUAGUCAUCCACUAGUUUUCCUAGUUAAUCAGCCAAGGGCAUCCCAUACUACCCUUGUGGUAGCACUGUUUUCCCGGGUGGUCGCUCCAUGUUCCCAUUAACAUAAUGAUCUUAUCAUGAAGAGUAAAUAAAAACUGAUAACAAAAGUAUGAAUAAUGUGUAUCUCAAUGCCCAAAUCCACAUAUAGCACUAGCAAGUACUACCCAAAAAGUUUAGUGGUAAACAAGGCAUAAAGAUAGUCAAACUAGGGUAACCUAUUGGGUCCCAUCAAAAUUAACCUAAGCAGAUCAUUAUGAUUAAUAAGAACAUGACUGGAUAAAAAGAAGUGAUCAAGGGCACAACUUGCCUGGGACUUGAGAUUCUAGGUACCAGGAUGAUCUUCAGCUGACUCCUAACCUCUCGCUAGUCGUAGCAAUACAAACAAACAUGGUAUAGGCAAAAUUAACAUCACACCAAACAUAAGAACAAAUUAUAUAAUAAUAAUCUACGCGUCAUUAUGUAAUCUUGGGAUCGAGAAUCACUAAAUUCGGAACUACGGUUUAAAAGAUAUGAUUUUCCAAAGAAUUAGGAGUUGGGUAGAGAAGAAAUUAAGUACAUGAUUUUAAUUUUGUUUCAUUACAACAUAAAGUUACAAGGGGAUAAACAAUAUUAUUAUGGAACUAAUGCGACUGGAAUGGGUAAAUUUGGAGUUAAGAUGGAUUUAAUAUGAAUUAAGCAAGUUUCUAUAUUUAUUGUUGUACUAAAAUCCAUUUUCUUUAUUAAUUCUACCCAUUUUAUUAUUCUUUGGGCUGCGGCCACAAUUUUCCAGAAGGCUAGGGGGUCACAUGUCAAUUUCAGGACCUAACUGUGCUAAUCUUUCUAUACCCGGGGAUGGCGGGUCAAUUACCAGAUACCCCAGGGUCUCAUUAAUAAAAGUGGUCGGCUGAAGAGGUAUUUUGAAGUCUCGGCCGCACGAUUAGAUCAGAGUGGCCCAGAUUAGCUCGAGUCUUGAGUGAACCGUUACGCACAUCAGCUAUUGAUCCAGAGAUCUGCGUCACAGAUUUGAUGAAGUUUUGUUUUCCUAUGGAUCGUCCGAUCACCACCCCACGGCCCUGAUUUAUCCUCCGAGGAGGUAUCUCUACUUCUUAUCAUAACCGCCAGCCCUGAGAUGGACGGUGCAGAGGGCAUCUUCUACAACCGUGCCAGGACGCACAACCGAGCACAAUGGUGCCACAGCUAGCGCGGCGGCGCACAGCUCCCGCGACGGCGACCAUGGUCAGAAUCCCGCCAUCCGGCGAACUAGUCCACAAAUUCAUCGUAAACGCGCUAUAGGGAGGGUUCCGAUGGUGAACAUGACAGAGAAACGACACAUAGGCGGAGGGCAUAGAGAGGGGGGGGUGUCCUUGCUGCAAGGCGGGACCGAGGCGGGGCUAUUCUCCGGCGAGGGAUCUAUGGCUAACGAGGGCUCUAUUCCAUCCGAAGCACGAUACUAGCCGUCGAGAGGAACAUGGCGAAGCUAGGGGAGAAGGUCUCACCGGGAGCGAAGGUGGGGACGAGGUCGGACACGGUGUUGGGCGAAUCGCUGGCGUUGAAGUCCCUCCGGUGAGAAACUGUGUAGCCUCCGGUCCACAAUCCCACCAGGCAAGGCCAUGACAGACAUCCUGGUGGCCUUAUUUAUCCGCACGGCCCAUCCCCGAGGGAUCUACAUCGACGAGCCAGAGUCUUCCCCAUGGCGAACAUCAUUCUCACACUUCCACCCAUGGCGGUCGGGUAUGGGAUGACUCGAAUUCGGGUGCCAGCUCGAUGGAAGGAGGGGAGGGGGUACAGAGACGGCUUUUAAUAGGGCAGAGGAGCGCCCAGGUUGUUGCGAGGCGUGCACCACCCGCGGAAUCCGCGCGGCCGGUCCGGUGUCCAGAGGUUGAAGGGAGCACUGACGCGGCGGACCCACACGUCAGCGCGAAAAGAUGUGGAUGGGGUUCGCGUUGUAAGAGGCUGACAAAGGUGGCCCUCCGGCAGCGGCACCAGGCGAGAGGAGCCAUUGGCAAUUUUGUCAUUAUCAUUUGUGGGCUUCGCCAGUAAGCCAUCGGACCCACAAAUCAUAGACACAGACGGUCCCACCAGUCAUAGACACGGGAUGACAUAAUAACAGGCAGCCAAAAUUGAGAGUGGCAAAAUAGCAAAUUUCUCAGGCGAGAGCGGCCUGGCCACGGUGCCGUGGACGCAAGAGCGAGGGGCGAGCGAGUUGGGCCGGCGGGCGUGCUUUUCGGCCCAACAGGCGAAGUGAAGGGGAGUGAACUAGGCCGUUGUGGAGAGAAGAAAAAAGGGAGGUGGACCGCGGGGAAAGGAAAUCAGCCCAGGCACCGGUUUGUUCAUUUUUUCCCUUUUCUUUUCUAUUUUAAUUUUCCUUCAUAUUUUCAAAUUUCGAACAUGUAACUCAAAUUCAUAUUCAGAUUUCCUCAUAUCAAAUAUGAUCCCAUUUAUGAAUACAAAUGUAACUAUUUUCUAUAUUAGUAGUUUUCCUCCUUCCCCUUAUUUAAUUCAAGUAAUAAAUGACUUCAUUCCAAUUAGCUUUCUCAAUUUCCAUUUCCAUUAUUCAAACUAAAUUCAAAUUAUUGUUUUGAACUCUAGAUUUAAAAUAUCAAACAAAAGUCUACAUGAAGUAUACUUCCACUGUCUGAAAUAAUAUUAUUUAUUAUUGUUAUCUUAUAAUGUGUAUUCUUUUCUUUUUCUUCUCUUUUCUGUUUUAUUUCCAAAUUCUAAAUUUUCAAACUUAGACUUGUCUCACAAAUUUGAAUAAAAAUGCAAACACUCAAGAAUCCAGCAUGGAGUGAUAAGUUAUCCAAUUUAUUUAUUUAUUUAUUUUAUUAUUUUUUCAUGCAAAUUUUGGGCUUUACAAAUCCUACCCCCUUAACAGAAAUCUCGUCCUCGAGAUUUGUAAGAAAAGGAAUAUAGAGAGAUUGGUUGUAAUGUAGCUUUUAGUUUCUAGUUGGUACCAAAAUCAAGAGGUUUUUUUUAUACAAAUGAGUAGGUGAUUAGGAAGGUAUGGGUAUAUAUGUAUAGCCACCAAAUGUGUAAAAUAUGUCUUUAAAGCAUGGAUAGGCUUGGGUAGGACAUAGUCGGGUAAGGAAGCACUCCAUCCAAGAUUUGUGGAUCCUGAUUCCUUUGAAGAUCUGGCUUGAAUCUUAUUAUUCUUUGAACGAGUUUGAUCUCCUUCUCGAGUCUUGGUGUCUUCAUCCGGAUUAGGGACAAGAGGUUAAGAUAGAUUUGUAGGUAACACAUUAGUAGGUUGAGUAGCUAGUUUAGUAGAUGGCUAUGAGUUAAAUGAGAUUAGUCAGAAUCUGGUUUGGUUGUUUGCUUCUAGAUGGGUGCGAUAGGUUAUGUAACCUAUUAUGUAGUUCAAGUUGUUGGGUAUGGCUGAGUUGACCUAAGUCACCAAUUUAGGCGUAAGUGAAUUAGGAGUAUGGCCUUAUCUUUUGUACCAGCAUUAAGUAACUCACUCUAGAUGAGAUCAUAUUAGGUUAGUCAGGAUCUACUAGGGUAGGAUAAAUAUUAUUAGGAUAUGUUAGAAUUUUUUUUGAGAUAGGAUGUAUUAUAUGAUGUAGGUAGGUCAGAAUCUCUGAUAGGUUAAAACAGAGGGGUUAUGUAACCAUCGGAUGGGUAAGGUAGUUGCAUAUGGUCAAGUUAGUCUAGGGCACCAGUUUAGGUUAACACCUAUUUAUAGGAAUAAGGUCUAUUCUACUUCACUAGUACUAACUAAUCUGGUAAUUAUCUUAUUUAGAUUAGAUCAGGUCCCCUUAGAUCACAUUAACUUAGAUUGGAUCUAGAUUAAAUUGAUAUCACUAGAUUUGACUAGAUAAGAUCUAAAUAAAUUUUGGAUUAGCUCAUGGUUGUUAUUCUAGAGUGGGAUAAACAUGCUAAUUAAGGCAAGAUGAAUCCAUAAAGAUAAGGUAGAAUCUUUUGAGAUUAAUUAGAUAUGUUAGGAUAAGGUAAAAUCUUUUCAAGAUAAGAUGAGUCUACUAAGAUAAGCUGGAAUCUUUUAAGUUAUACACUUUAAUGGAGGAUAAUCAAGGUUGUUUAGUUAUCUUAUGAUUUCUAUUUAUGCCUAUAUGCACAGAUGUAAUUGUGGACAUUACUCCAUAACUCAUCACACUCAAUCAAAGAUCCAAAUCAGACAAGUAUCAUAAGAACAAACAUUCAAGUGCAUAGAUACCUAUAAAAAUAGUUUUGUUUUUGUUUCUAGGAGUAGGUCUCCUAUUUCUAAAGGUCACUUUAGGCACAGUACUUUAAAGUGUGAAAUCCACAUUUGUCUUUAGAAUGAAAAAUGUAAGAAUAAUCAGAGUAAAGCAGCAGUGGAUGAGAAAAGGUUAAGGUAGGUGUAGAAAGAAUCAGAGUAGCAAAGGUAAGUAGAUAAUGGUUGUCCAGUUCUAUCUAGGUUUCGUCCUACAGUCAACAUUCCUCUGAUACCACUUCUGUCACACCCGGGUUUCGGGGAACCAAGACCCGGGCGCGAACAUAAUCACUAGGUUUGCUGGGACCAAGUCUCACACAUAUGAUGAAUCAUGGCACAUGAUCGCGCGCGGCCCAGCUCCCGCUGCGGGCUUGCCCCCGCGCCCAGCCACCUCCCCGCGGCCCACCUAGCGCACACGGCUCAUUUCCCCAAACCCUAGCACCUCAGCGCGCCUCCUACAGCAGCCGCAGCCGUGUCCAGCCGCCGAGAGCGCCCGCGCGCCAGGGCCACGCCCAGGGCAAGUCUUCUUCUCCAGACUCCAACCGUCCGAGUUCCCUUGCCCACGUCGCCCCAAAACAGGAAUUGGCACUCCCGUUGCCUCGUCCCUCGCGUCCAGCUCCGCCAGAACCACCCACAACCGCGCCUCGCCCAGCUCCGGCCGCCCGCGCUGCGCAUGGCACAACGGAAGCGUGUGUGGGUCCUAACCCAUAGGUCCAAGAGAUCCUCAAGAAUUGCAUCAAUCGAUCCCAAGCAUCUGAAGGCCAAAGCAACCAGUCCACAAGUUAAUCUUGUAGAGAAGUCAACUCAAGAAAGGUGUGAACAGCCAAUGAACCAACCUUGUUUUCUUCCUAGCUUCUUCUUGAAUCUCGGGGGCAAGAUUCCUAUUAAGGGGGUUAGAUCUGUAACACCCUGAAUUUGAGGGCAUAAUUUUUUUUCUCUAAUAUCCAUCAAAUUCAGGUGUUACUUUCUUGUUCCUCUUUCUUUUCGCUCCUUUAUUUAUUCAUUUAUUUAUUUCCAAGUUAUAAGAAAUUUUACUCCAGAUAUAGCUAUUAAUAAAACCCUAAGGGAAUAAUGACUGAUGCAUCAUGCCGAAAUAUAUUUGUUUUUGUGUGAUGUUUUGCUUUGGUGUGUAUCCAUUUAAUAUGUAGCUCAUUCAUUGUAAAUAAAUUUGAUAGUAGGAAAAUAUAAAAGAGAAGAAAUAGAAAAUGAAGAACAAUAAUAAAAGGGAAAAACCUCCCUCAGCCCCGCGGCCUGCCUCGCGUGCGGCCUGCCUCACGCGCGGCCCAGCUCCCGCUGCGGGCUUGCCCCCGCGCCCAGCCACCUCCCCGCGGCCCACCUAGCGCACACAGCUCAUUUCCCCAAACCCUAGCACCUCAGCGCGCCUCCUACAGCAGCCGCAGCCGUGUCCAGCCGCCGGGAGCGCCCGCGCGCCAGGGCCACGCCCAGGGCAAGUCUUCUUCUCCAGACUCCAACCGUCCGAGUUCCCUUGCCCACGUCGCCCCAAAACAGGAAUUGGCACUCCCGUUGCCUCGUCCCUCGCGUCCAGCUCCGCUAGAACCACCCACAACCGCGCCUCGCCCAGCUCCGGCCACCCGCGCUGCGCAUCACCAUGCAGGGAGCCGUGCCGCGCUGCUCCUCGUCGUGCCGCGCUGCAUCCUCGUGGCUGCCUUGGCUGGGCAAGCAUGCCCCUGCAGCCCCAUCCCCGCGCUCCUCCUCAGCGCGCAGCGCGGCAGCCCCGGCCGUGUCCUGGCCUCCCUUGCCGAGUUGUGUUGUCGUUGUAGCCUUUUCAUCUUCUCUCCCUGCAAGCCUGAGCGCGCCACUGCGCUGGCCGACGAUUCGCCCAGCACCGGCGAGCACCCCAGCGGCCACGCCUCGUCUCGUUCCUCCCUGCUCCCUGCAACGCAGACCGCGUGGAGCACUGGAGCCCCCACGCGUGCGUGUUAUUCUUGCCCAGCCGGCCAUCUCUCCAAGCGCCGUGAACAGAGGAGAGAGGAAAACAACCGCUCGUGCGAGGUGUUGAGGAAGAUGGAACCAAGGUGGGCCCCACGUUUGUUUUUCUUUCACGUGACCAGUACAGCACGUAGCAUGUUUGGAAUUGCUUACCCUCCAAAUGUGGCCAUGUGGUAGUGUCUCUUUGGUCUGCAAGACCUUCUGUGGCCAUGUACUGUAUAGUCCUCUGCGUGGCCCCGGCGCAACAGCAAUCUUGCCGUUCUCAUGCCUCGCCGUUGACUAGUCUGGUCGUCCGCUGUCGUUGCGAGGUGAGCAUCGUCUACACGUUGGUAACCUUGUUUCACUAUGUCGCGCAUUUUAAAUAGUUAAUUAUAUUUUUGUUUAACUAACGUUAGUCAUUUAGACUUUUCAAUUAAACUAAUUUAUAGUAGUUAACUUACGCUUUAUAAAUCCAUGUCGACGUAAUUAACAGUAACUCAAAUGUGUUGCCCUAAUAUUUGUUUAAUAUAAAUGUGACGACUAUUUAGUUUCAUCGUGUUUCGCGCGCGUUGUUCGCGUAUGUCACGCGUGCUGUUCAUGUGUCGUCGUUCACGCGAGUCGUUAUUCACGUGCUUUAAUAAAAUCAUUUCGCCAUAGAGCUCAUGUUAAAUAAUUAGUUAAUUGUUUAGUUGUUGGUUAUUAAAAUAACAAUUCCAUCGAGUCUGAUUUAUAAUUCUAAUCAUGCAUUAGUAGAUACGAUUAGUAUUAAAUCAAUUGUUUUGCUCUAAUGUUUGUUUAAUAUAAAUGCGACGUCUACGUAGUUUUUCUCGCGUAUCGCGUACGGUUUCCCACAUGGUUACGUGUUGAUUCGUGCGUCAUUCGCGCGUGCUGUUCGCACGCGUUGUCGCGUGCCGUUCACACGCAUUGUCACGCGCCUUUCGCGUGUGUCGCUCGUCUCGCCACGCGUUGCUCACGCGUAUCUCGUGUGUCGAUCACGUGGGUCGCGCGGCGUCUGCGCGUGAUAAUAAAUUGUUUUUCGCUUAUAAACACUCAUAUUAAUAAGGUUAAUUCGUCAAGUCAUAUAUGUUAGAUAAUUAACUUAAGGCUCACUCGAUUAAUAUUUAUUAGAUUAAUAUUCUAAUUAGAUUAAAUGUGUAGUGUUCAACUUGGGCUUUUAUAAUAAAUAUUAACAUGGAUAAUAUUAAUUUAACUACUUUCUAUUUAUUUAACAUUCGUUUAGUAUAAACAUGUCACCUGUUCAGUUAUUCUCGUCUGUCACGGGUGCUGUUCCACGCACGGUGGCAUGCUGCUUCACGCGUCGUGCACAUGCUGUCUGCGCGUUGUUCGUGCGUGAUGUGCCCGUGGUCGCGUGCUGAUUCGUGCGCGUUCGCGCUCGUCGCGCGCGUUUUUUCGUGUGUCGUCAGCGUGCUAUGUCGCGCAUGUCCGCGCGUCGUUUGCACGCUGUCGUGCUGUUUCACGCGUCAUAAAUUCGUCUCGCUUAGAAUCUCCCAUUUUAAUUAAAUUACUUAAUUAAUUGACAUUGUUGGUGUAGCACAUUAAUCGAACUAACUGAUGUAUAAUAUUUAUAUUUGACAAUGUCGAAUUAGAUAUUAUGAUUAAUACUCGUUUAGUGUGAACGCGAUAACCUCUCGACCGUAGCCUCGACCGUCGCGUUUCUUUGUCCUCGUGUGACCGUAGUAACACACUCUAUUUUAUUUUGUGUAUUUUAUUAUGUUUUACUUGAAUGGAGUAAUGUUCUUAUGCAUAUAUAUGGUUGUUUGUUUGUGCCUGUUUGUAUUCGUUGUGCGCCGCGAAUAAACUGCGAUCCAUUUCUGAGCUUCGAUGAAUCGACGGUCAAGCUUGGGCGACCAAAUGACCCAGUUCUUCGAGUUCUACAAAAUUGAAGACCCUGAGCAUCUGUUUGGUGAAGGCAAGUGUCCUCUGACCUAUUAUGUCCCAUUUACUUUAUAAUUCAUCAACCCGCAUACCAUGAUCAACCUAAGGAUUGACUAGUUUUGUAUUUACCUUGUCCUUGAUUACCUUUUGGGUUAUUAUGGUUAGCUUCAUGCUAUUGCUUUACCUUAAUCAAUGAACAUGAUGUGAACAUUUAUGAUACGAUGUUGUCUCUAUGAUUAUGAUGUUGGACUGGUGAUACUUUAGGGGGCUCAAGCGGUUUCUCGAGUGCCUCUCCGUAAGGACCUGUUCGUUGGAUGACCGCCCGGGAAAACAGUGCAACCAUGAGGGUGGAAUGGGAUGCCCUUAGCUGAAUAAUUAGAGGAACUGGGGUGUAGUUCGCUUAGCCGUCGUGCCGUCAAUGGGGCUCGGUGUAUGCGGCUCGCUCCGCCAAGUUUGGUUCACCCCUUGGGGAGGAGUGCGGUACAUUUAGGAAACCUAACGGGAGGCUACAGCCCCGGGGAAUCUUUGUAAAGGCUUCGUUGUGAAUCCCUGGCCAUUCACCUCGGUAGUGAAUAAGGGUCUUGCAAGCCCGGGCUAGAGAGGAAAUCACGACUUGUGGGUAAAGUGCGCAACCUCUGCAGAGUGUUAUGAAACUGAUAUAUCAGCCGUGCUCGCGGUUAUGAGCGGCCAAGGGAGCUCCAGUGAUUAGUGAUACUUGAUCAGAGAUGUUCGGAUUGCAGGUGGCAAUGAGACUGAUGGUUCUCGGUUUUAACUCUGGUAAUGGUAAGUGGUACUCUUUUCGUUUGGAAAGGAGUACGUUUGGGUUAAUAACGUGGGUUAACUCUAAAACUUGGCUUUCUCUACAAGUAAUAAUAAUCUGACCAACUAAAAGCAACUGCUUGACUUACCCUCCACAUAAAGCUAGUCCACUACAGCCAAACAGGACACUUGCUGAGUAUGUUGAUGUGUACUCACCCUUGCUCUACACACCAACCCCCCUUUCCCCAAUUUGUCAGCAUUGCAACCACUCCUUAGGAGAAGAUGAAGCCGUGGAAGGAGACUUCCAGGAGUUCCAAGACUACGACGAGUUCUAGGUGUGGGUUAGCGGCAACCCCCAGUCGGCUGCCUGUGAAGGCCGCAUUUAUCUACGUUUCAUUUUCGCACUUUGAUUAUUGUAAAGACUAUGUUGAUGUCUCAAACAUAUGAUGUAAUCGACUAUUAUUUCCCUUUUUAAUAUUAUUUGAGCAUUGUGUGAUGAUGUCCAUGUUAUGUAACUGCUGUGUACGUGAAUUGCUGAUCCUGGCACGUACACUGUUCGCAUUCGGUUUGCCUUCUAAAACCGGGUGUGACAGUCAUCCACUAGCUUUCCUAGUUAAUCAGCCAAGGACAUCCCAUACUACCCUUGUGGUAGCACUAUUUUCCCGGGUGGUCGCUCCAUGUUCCCAUUAACAUAAUGAUCUUAUCAUGAAGAGUAAAUAACAACUGAUAACAAAAGUAUGAAUAAUGUGUAUCUCAAUGCCCAAAUCCACAUAUAGCACUAACAAGUACUACCCAAAAAGUUUAGUGGUAAACAAGGCAUAAAGAUAGUCAAACUAGGGUAACCUAUUGGGUCCCAUCAAAAUUAACCUAAGUAGAUCAUUAUGAUUAAUAAGAACAUGACUGGGUAAAAAGAAGUGAUCAAGGGCACAACUUGCCUGGGACUUGAGAUUCCAGGUACCAGGAUGAUCUUCAGGUGACUCAUAACCUCUCUCUAGUCGUAGCAAUACAAACAAACAUGACAUAGGCAAAAUUAACAUCACACCAAACAUAAGAACAAUCUGUAUAAUAAUAAUCUACGCGUCACUACGUAAUCGUGGGCUCGAGAAUCACUAAAUUCGGAGCUACGAUUUAAAAGAUAUGAUUUUCCAAAGAAUUAGGAGUUGGAUACAGAAGAAAUUAAGUACAUGAUUUUAAUUUUGUUUCAUAACAACAUAAAGUUACCAGGGGAUAAACAAUAUUAUUAUGGAACUAAUGCAACUGGAAUGGGUCAAUUUGGAGUUAAGAUGGAUUUAAUAUGAAUUAAUCAAGUUUCUAGAUUUAUUGUUGUACUAAAAUCCAUUUUCUUUAUUAAUUCUACCCAUUUUAUUAUUCUUUGUGCUGCGGCCACAAUUUUCCAGAAGGCUAGGGGGUCACAUGUCAAUUUCAGGACCUAACUGUGCUAAUCUUUCUAUACCCGGGGAUGGCGGAUCAAUUACCAGAUACCCCAGGGUCUCAUUAAUUAAAGUGGUCGGCUGAAGAGGUAUUUUGAAGUCUCGGCCGCACGAUUAGAUCAGAGCGACCCAGAUUAGCUCGAGUCUUGAGUGAACCGUUACGCACAUCAGCCAUUGAUCGAGAGAUCUGCGUCACAGAUUUGAUGAAGUUUUGUUUUCGUAUGGAUCGUCCGAUCACCACCCCACGACCCUGAUUUAUCCUUCGAGGAGGAAUCUGCUUCUUAUCAUAACUGCCAGCCCCGAGAUGGACGGUGCAGAGGGCAUCUUCUACAACCGUGCCAGGACGCACAGCCGAGCACAAUGGUGCCACAGCUAGCGCGGCGGCGCAUAGCUCCUGCGACGGCGACCAUGGUCAUAAUCCCGCCAUCCGGCGAACUAGUCCACAAAUUCAUUCUAAACACGCUAUAGGGAGGGUUCUGAUGGUGAACAUGACAGAGAAAUGACACAUAGGCGGAGGGCAUAGAGAGGGGGUGUCCUUGAUUCAAGGUGGGACCGUGGCGGGGCUAAUCUCCGGCGAGGGAUCUAUGGCUAACGAGGGCUCUAUUCCAUCCGAAGCACGAAACUAGCUGUAGAGAGGAACAUGGCGAAGCUAGGGGAGAAGGUCUCACCGGUCGCGAAGGUGGGGACGAUGUCGGACACGGUGUUGGGCGGAUCGCUGGCGUUGAAGUCCCUCCGGUGAGAAACUGUGUAGCCUCUGGUCCACAAUCCCACCAAGCAAGGCCAUGACAGACAUCCUGGUGGCCUUAUUUAUCCGCACGACCCAUCCCCAAGGGAUCUACAUCGACGAGCCAGAGUCUUCCCCAUGGCGGACAUCAUUCUCACACUUCCACCCAUGGCGGUCGGGUAUGGAUGACUCAAAUUCGG
rnacentral:lncRNA from 1 species